UUUCGAUCUUAACCAAUCAUGAAUCUAUACCCCAGUGGCGAGGUCACCAGGCAGCUUCUUUAGUGAUAAUAAUAAUUAUGCUUCUUGCAUUUACCCCGCGUUUUUCGUUUGCAGAUCACAGGAUGCUUCAUCGAAGCAGGCUGCAAUCAUCACUGCCCAUCAUUACCAGCAGAGAAAAUGAGGUGAAGGGGAGGCAGAUAAACCCGUCUGCGCACAUCGCACAUCACAGCUGAUUCAGGCACAGCUGGCGUGCUGGGAGCUGAAGGAAAUUUAUUUCUCUUGGCAGAUGACCUACUCCCUUCAAGAGCUGCAUUUUCCAAGCACUCCCUGCCUGGCUGCAACAUUUGUAGCUCUGACAAUUAUUAUUAUUUUAUUAUUAGGCUAAGAGCUAAUGUAUGGGGCUAAUAUACAGCUAGUAGCCUGUAGACUCUUUAGCAAGUCUGUUUUGGUGACACUUGAAGGAGACUUUAUAGAUGGGCUGUUCCAACCCAGCUCAACCCUAAUCUGGCAUUUAGCUGUGGCUUGCAGAAUAUAAUGGCUGAAUGCAUUUAGCCCAUGCCCACAAUAACUCUCUUUGACUGCAAAAGAAGUUCCAAUAAACAUGUCAUUCAGAUGUGAAUGCAUUCCAGCAAAAAUUAGUGAGCUGAUGCUAUGAAUAACCUGCAGAGCUAUCGUGCAUUUCCAAUAGCCCUCCCAUCGACAGGACCGAGAUGAUUAACACCAGAUCGGCCAUGAUAUUUAUACUGCUCGGAUCAUGGUGUGUCAUAAGCAAACGCAAAAUUGCAUACUGCAUUGUAACAGCAGGGAUGGGAAGAGCCACGUCAUGAGCUGGGUUUAUAGGGAAAAACAAAUGGGAUUGUAACACAAUCCUGGAAACAAGGGAGUGCUUCCAAGCGGGGUGAGGAGUGGGACAGCAGCUCGUGAGAGCGGUGCUGGGAGUGACUUUGGUGAAAUGAAGUGAUUUAUAGAAACAGAGGGCGGGUUGGUGCACUGUAUUUUUCUUGCAGCGGUUUCGAGUGAUACAGCAUGGAUUUGGACAGCACAUCUCCAAACCUGGCCAGUCUGCUUUGUAAAAUGAAUUCUUUUUGUUUGCUUGCUCGGGCUAAAGAGACCCAUUGCAAAUCUGAGUUCAUUUGCAGCUCUCACCUUCUCCACUAUUUUAUUAAUCAUGAGGCCCCUGCAACAGGAGAGCCUUCCCCCACCUGCGGCCCCUCUCUUCUGUCAGAUCUCUUGUCACUACAGCUCUAUACAGUAAUGGGAAACAUGUGUCCUUCUCCAGCGCUCACAGCCUCACCCCGAGGAGCCCUGCAAUGAGGGCCAGGAGCAGCGGUUGGGUGUUUCUGCAGAUGCCAAGGGUCUUGUGUGGAGGGGGCACAUGGGGCAACAGGGCUCGGUUCCCCUGGAGAGAAGCCAAGGGUCAUGCUGUGUGCAAGGAAGAGGCUCUGCAACCAGAGGGCGGUGGGCAUGGAACGGCUCCCCAGGGCAGUGGGCAUGGCCCCAAGCUGUCGGAGCUCAAGACAAUGCCAAAGCCCAAAGGGUUUGAGUUUCGGGUGGUCCUGUGUGGAGCCAGGAAUUGGACUCAGUGGUCAUUAUGGGUCCCUUCCAACUCAGGAUUUUCUGUGAUUCUAUGAUCAACUUCAAAAUAAAAAGCGGGCACCUUAAUGCUGUAUGCGUAGUGCAUAAUACAAAUCUUAUAUGUUAUACUGCACAUCUUGUAUAAAUUACACAUCUUGUAUGCUACAAAUGGGCCACAUUCCUCAUUGUUUUUCCUUCUGGAUGUUCUGAGCUGUACAAAGAAGAUCCUAUAUAGAAAUCAGCACAGUUCCUCAGAACACCGGGCCCAGAGCAUGAUUAAUGCCAACCCCAGUCAUAACCUGCUCAACACCUCAGCCACUUUCUUGGGGGUGAGGGAUGCCUGGAAUCGUAGAAUCAUAAAGGUAGGAAAAGACCUCCGAGAUCUCCAAGCCCAAACCCAACCCACACGUCCAUGAUCACUGACCACGUCCCUCAGUGCCACAUCCCCACAGUUCUGGAGCACCUGCAGGGACAGUGACUCCAACAUCUCCCUGAGCUGGUGGCCAACUGUGUUUCAAGAAAAAAAUCAGGACUGGGCUAGGGUGUAUUGUUUCCCUGUGAGUUCAAUUGCAAAGGUCACUGCUCCUCUUCCCCACAUCGGGGUCUCCCUCUCUGCAGCUCUGUUGUUUGUUCAAGACUUCAGGAAUUAAAAUCUCAUUGCAAGGGUUAUGAGCAGACCACAGCAGCAAUGCAUUGUAGUGGAUUAUAAGCAGCAGGAGAGCUUUUCCCUGUCAGUUCUUCAGCUGCAGUGAUGCAUAAGUUCUGUAUGCCUUGCACUGAAUUUUCUUGCCUAUAGAAGUUUUUUUUUUCCCUAGUAAUUAGGGACCCCAUUUUGUUUGUGGAAUAGAUUUAUCAUGAUAAGUUGCACAAGAUUAUAUUGUUACAGGGAAUUGCCACCACUUCAGCAGUAAUAUAAAGAAAAGGAAAAAGAAAGUUGAAAAAUACAAAAAUAACUACAAGACAGCUUGGAGUACAGUGAGAGGAAAAACAGCCCUGGCAGGGAAGCAGAGGGAUGUUCUCCUCAGGUGUAAAGAUUCAUUUAUGGAGACAGCAAUGCAGAAAACCACCAUAUGAAAGAGUCAAGCUAUAGGAAAACCACUGUCUUUAUGGCAAAGGCAGGGGCCGAUGGCUGCCAGGGGGUUUAAGGUUUCUAGAUUUGGAGUUCACUUGAAAGGAACAUCAUUUUUAGAAAUGAACAUCAAGUUUCAGUCCUGGUUUUUGCAAAGACAAUGGUAGAUGCUGCACUUCCCCAUAGGUACCCAUAGGUACAGAAGUACCUUCUGGCAGCAGGACCCUGGAACUGAGAGAGCUCCAUACCACUCAGUGCUUUGCAAACAUGAACAUCAUUGAUUAAAGGCAGGGCAGGAAUGUUAUCUUUCCUGGCCUCUUGCAUAACAGAAGCUAGAUAAUUAAAUUUUAUUAUCUUUGCAUCAAGCCUGUAAUUCCCUGAUUGCAUUAGAGUAUGACUUUGAGAAAAAGCCCUGACCUGAUGGCCCCAAGAAGCGCUCACCUCCCCAGCAAGAGCUGCAGUCACCCAUUAAGAGUCACAAAUAGACCAGGUUUAAUGUUUCCAUCUCCCAUUCAGCCUGAUCUUAUCUGGGCCCAGCUUCCAGCCAUAGCAGUGCUUCCGCUGUCUGGGCAAAGAGAUUUGCCACCAGCGACCCCUUCCCUGCUAUGAGCCCAGCUGCUAGUGAUGAAGCCACCUCACUCCCUCAUUCUUGGGGCACUCAAUGAAUGAAGCUACUGAGAUGCUCACCCCUACAAAGUGUUCCAACAUCAGCUUUCAGGAGGGUUUUCCCGAACUCCCACUAAUUCACCAUUCUCAAAGCUCAGCCUCCACGUCAGGCCCCAGCCAGGCAUGUUCCCAGUAGUGCUAUAUACGGUAGCAGCCACUCUUGCUCACUCACACCGCCAGCCUCUGCCUCUCUUCUAUUAUUCUAUAUCAUUAUGUUGAUGUAAUAAAUGUGCAGAGGAGCUCCAGGCAUCGGCUGUCUCCUUUGUUUAAAACACUCUACCACGUUCUCCCAACUGGAUAUUACCAUAUGAUUAUAUACAUGCCAGAGAAAUAACUCCUGAUGUCAGUGCUGCUUUUAUACUGCAGCUCUGCCCUCCUGUCCUCCUGUUUGCAUUUCCCAUCCCACAUUCACACGCUCCCAUUACACGGCUAGCCUAUAUUUUACUCCCUCUGUUCUUGCUGCAGCUCCUCUUGGUAAGGGAAGUCUUGAUUAUAUGUUAUGGCCAAAUAACUUAAAGCAAAGACAAAAAAAAAAAAAAAAAAAAGGAAUGUGGAAGAACCAAAUGAGGUCUAAAUGAAGUCAGAGCACACUGGUCAGGAGGGAGGUUCCUGUGGCACCUCCCCUUGGUCUGCUCUGGCUCUGUGUGCCCAUAAGGACUCAGCAGAUGCUUAACCUCUAGGGGGAAGCCCCAGCCCUCCAAGCCAACCCAAUGUGCUGGUGUGGGCCAGAAUGUUAUAAACGAGCUUCAGACUCUGGGAAGGUUCCUGCCUAUUUCCAGCACUGGCAAAAUUCACAAGCAGGAACGUCGUAUAUACAUAAGUCAAGGAAAAUACUGUUUCCUUCUUCAGCAGGAAACAGAAGUUAUUCUCAGAACUUCAGCAAAAGAACAAGAAAUUAAAUAAAGCGCUGGCAGCCUACACUUGCUUUAUUCCUGUGGUUUUAUAAUCUCCGAGUCAAAAUAAACACAUUUUUAAUCUUGGGAGAAUUAUUAGGGUAAUAAUGGUGGGUAGUUAUUUACAGGCUCCAAUGGAAUUGCUCAGCGAAUCAUGUGAAGUGAAACAGUGGAUUCAGGGCAAGAAAAUUCACAUUUAUGCAACAGUCUGGUUAGAUUCUUUUGUUAGUGGGCACCCAGAUGCCGCAAUACAAGAUUGAGCAAAAAUCUUUGGUGAUCCCAGCUGGAGUUUUCCUGAGAGAAAAGCUAUGACCAAUAUUGCAACACCCGAUUUCUUUCAGUUAAGAGUUUUAAUGAAUUUUAGUGGUGUUUUUCCUUCUUAAGUCUAGGGUGGGCUUUCAUGGGUGGUGAUGGCUCAGGGCUGAAGACUCACAUCCUGGUCACAGUAGGGUACUAAUUUACAUUGCCAUGUGAUAUCCAACGAGGCUGAUUAAAUGCGAACGAGAAUUUUGUGUCUUCAUACUUUGAAGUGCCUACCAUCUCCCCUAUUAACAAAUAACUCAAAUUAGAGUUUAACAGGAGGGAAGAUUUUCUUAAAGGGAAACGGGAAAGCAGAACACAAGGUGAGAUUAGUGGCUGGAUUAAAGUGGUAUCACUGCCAACUCCAGCCCUCCUUGCUUGGGCUGUUGUCCAUACAAAAUCUUGCAACAGCUGUAAGAAAUGACUCUGAAUUAAAUUUUCACUUCUCAGCUCGAGGUUCAGGCAGAACUACUUGAUUGCUUCCUUCCAAGAUGGCAAAGGAGGCUAAAGGCAUCACAGACCAACAGUUGGCACCUAAUUAUGCUUCUUCAUCUUCUCUUUUGGCCAGAGCACUUGUGUCUGACCACAGCAGUGCCCUAUAGGCAGCAUGUUAGCUCCCUGCUUCUCCCAGCUUACACCUUUCCUGUGAAAUUCAACGCUAUUGCAAAGUCAGCUCUUCUUCAGCUAAACUCCUGCCUAUCACUUUGCCUACAUGCCUAAAACAUGAGGUAGUUCAGGCAUGUAGACAUACAUAUGUUUAUCACAUUGUUCUUAGGGUUAUGUCUGCAAGAGUAAGAGUUAUAGUUACAAGAAGUAAAUACAAGGAGAAGUUCUAUGGCUAUAUACAAGAGGCAGUUACAAGAAAUAGCUACUACAGCUAGUCACAAGGGAAAUUACUAGAGCUAGUUACAAGGGUAUGUAGUGAAGGUAGCUAGAGGGCUCUUGGCACUUUAUGUGUGAAAAGCACAGGAAGAGGAGCUGGUAUGUGGAUGCCAAGAUGGGAAUGAUGCAAUAACUGCAAGUCCCAAAGCUUUUUGCAAAGCUCCUACCUUUCACAAAAGCAGAGACAAAAGCAGACAGGAAAAGGGUGAGAAAAUCUCUAAUUGCUUAUUCCCUUCAAAAGCCAUGUGGGCCACAGAGGAACACUUCACCCUGCAUGAAGCAAUUCCUAAGGCUGCUGCUCGAAGGGUAGAGGUUAAACUCUGAAGAAAGCUCAUAGUUUUUAUAAGCAAGGCUCACAUUUCCCUUCUGGAAAUAUAUAUAUGGGAACCCACUCAGGCAUGAAGUUUAAGACACGCACGAGAAGACCACUGAAGCCUUGUUAUCUUUGCUUUUGUUCUGCUUUCCCGGUGCUUUUUUAAUGCCCUUACCGGUACAGCCUUGGAACACACUCCCUUUUCCAGGCCAACAUUUCACAGGGCGCAGGGCUUUUUGUUCUCACCCCUCACCCUGUUUGUUGUACUGUCCCUGGGGUGUGCUUCUGCUCUUCGAGGGGGCCAGCAGCCGAAAGGAAGAGGCAGAGGAUGUGAACUCCCAUGUUUGAGCACAAAGAGAGAGAGGGACACAUUCAUUUCUAUCCUCAGUGUUCCUCAGCAAGCAGAGAGAGCUCCUUGAGAUAAAGAGCAAAAUAUUCACAAAGGGGUAGGGCAGGGGUAAGUUGGGUUUCUCCCUACUGAACCCCACAGUGACAGUGUGUGCAGACUUUGCAGUUGUUUCCUUCUCAGCACAUCGGUGCGUUCUUCAGAUCUCUGUGGGAGUUGCUUAUGUGACUUCCAGGUAUAAAGGUUGUUGGCUCCAGUAAAGCUGCUUCACAUACCGUGGCAAGGAACACAAACACUUUAGAGGCAACGGCACAUGGAAGAGAGCCACAACCAUCAGCAGGCACGUAGGACUGGAAGGGACCACCUACGUCAUAGGGCUCAGUCACAAACUCCUCACAAACACCUUCCCCAGGCUGAUCAGGCAAAGCUACUUGGUUGUUUCCUUGUUAUUCUCACAGCUGCUAUCCCUUGCAAGCUAGAUCUUAGAGAUGAUCUGUACUAUAAACUCUAUUGUUAGGGAAAGAGAGAGAAAAUUACUUUCAGUGUUGAUAGUUUCUUCAUGUCCACAUGUAGCUGUGGAGAGCAGGCAAGCCAUAGGUUUGCCUAUGAGAAAGAGCAGGAAAAAGUCUCUUUGUUUUUUCAUUUGCCAGCAGACCUAUCAUAUCAUGAACCUAUUGUUAGCGAUGGCUUGAAAACAGGCAUGUCCUUUAGCUAACGUGGUAUAGGGAUGAGUCUGCCAGUGUGGCAGCCUUGUCUCAGUGCUGGUCUUGGGAUAACAGUGGUGGGACCUCAGGGUCCUUAAAACUCAACUUGAGUUUC